rnacentral:rRNA from 1 species
GACGAACGCUGGCGGCGCGCUUAACACAUGCAAGUCGAACGGAAAGGCCUGCUUUCCCUUGUGGAUUGCGGGUACUCGAGUGGCGAACGGGUGAGUAACACGUGAGUGAUCUGCCCCCAACUUGGGUAUAAGCCUGGGAAACUGGGUCUAAUUCCCGAUAGGACUGCAGGGUGGUGCCUGUGGUGGAAAACGAUUUUCUAGUGGUUGGGGAUGAGCUCGCGGCCUAUCAGCUUGUUGGUGGGGUAAUGGCCUACCAAGGCGGCGACGGGUAGCCGGCCUGAGAGGGUGGACGGCCACACUGGGACUGAGAUACGGCCCAGACUCCUACGGGAGGCAGCAGUGGGGAAUAUUGCACAAUGGGCGGAAGCCUGAUGCAGCGACGCCGCGUGGGGGAUGACGGCCUUCGGGUUGUAAACUCCUUUCGACCGCGAGGAAGCCACCUGGUUGGAAGGGUGGUGACGGUAGUGGUAGAAGAAGCACCGGCUAACUACGUG